rnacentral:rRNA from 1 species
GGGAAUAUUGGACAAUGGGCGAAAGCCUGAUCCAGCAAUACCGCGUGUGUGAAGCAGGCCUGAGGGUUGUAAAGCACUUUCAAUGGGAAGGAAUACCUAUCGGUUAAUACCCGGUAGACUGACAUUACCCAUACAAGAAGCACCGGCUAACUCCGUGCCAGCAGCCGCGGUAAUACGGAGGGUGCAAGCGUUAAUCGGAAUUACUGUGCGUAAAGCGUGCGUAGGCGGUUGUUUAAGUCAGAUGUGAAAGCCCUGGGCUUAACCUGGGAACUGCAUUUGAUACUGGGAAACUAGAGUUUAGUAGAGGGGAGUGGAAUUUCAGAUGUAGCGGUGAAAUGCGUAGAGAUAUGAAGGAACACCAGUGGCGAAGACGGCUCCCUGGACUAAAACUGACGCUGAGGUACGAAAGCGUGGGUAGCAAAC